GGAGAAAUGGACUGUGGCUCAAGGGGAGAGCAACUUCUUGGCAUGCAGAAGGUCCAAGGUUCAAUCCCUGGCCUCUCCG
rnacentral:tRNA from 1 species